rfam:Oryzias latipes DNA, chromosome16, strain: Hd-rR.
CUUUAUAAAUAAAAAACAAAAAAAAACACGCCCGAUCUCGUCCGAUCUCGGAAGCUAAGCAGGGUCGGGCCUGGUUAGUACUUGGAUGGGAGACCGCCUGGGAAUACCAGGUGCUGUAAGUU